GCAUCUAUUAAUGCCCUUGCUGGACUCGCUUCAAUAGAUCCUGAUCUCAUUUGGCUUCUUCUUGCUGAUGUUUAUUACUCGAAGAAGAGAGAGACACCGGUGCCUCCUAUAACAGGAGAGUUUUUCGAGAUAUCGGAAAUUUUACCUCCACCCUUGUCCUCUAAAGGUUACCUUUAUCUGCAGUAUGGCGGGAAGAGUUACGGUUUUG
rnacentral:misc_RNA from 1 species